AUUGAACGCUGGCGGCAUGCCUUACACAUGCAAGUCGAACGGCAGCAUAGGAGCUUGCUCCUGAUGGCGAGUGGCGAACGGGUGAGUAAUAUAUCGGAACGUGCCCUAGAGUGGGGGAUAACUAGUCGAAAGACUAGCUAAUACCGCAUACGAUCUACGGAUGAAAGUGGGGGAUCGCAAGACCUCAUGCCCCUGGAGCGGCCGAUAUCUGAUUAGCUAGUUGGUGGGGUAAAAGCCUACCAAAGCAACGAUCAGUAGCUGGUCUGAGAGGACGACCAGCCACACUGGGACUGAGACACGGCCCAGACUCCUACGGGAGGCAGCAGUGGGGAUUUUUGGACAAUGGGGGCAACCCUGAUCCAGCAAUGCCGCGUGAGUGAAGAAGGCCUUCGGGUUGUAAAGCUCUUUUGUCAGGGAAGAAACGGUAGUAGCGAAUAACUAUUACUAAUGACGGUACCUGAAGAAUAAGCACCGGCUAACUACGUGCCAGCAGCCGCGGUAA
rnacentral:rRNA from 1 species